rnacentral:lncRNA from 1 species
UUGACUUUGGACAUGCUUUUGGAUCAGCUACUCAGUUUCUUCCAAUCCCUGAGUUGAUGCCUUUUCGUCUAACCCGCCAAUUUAUCAGUCUCAUGUUGCCAAUGAAAGAAACGGGUCUUGUGUGCACAGUCAUGGUGCAUGCACUGAGGGCUUUCCGCUCGUGUGCAGGUCUGCUCACUGAUACCAUGGAAGUUUUUGUGAAGGAACCCUCCUUUGAUUGGAAGGUAUAUUUUGGUUUUGGAUAGACACACUCUUGUCUCCUUUGUAUUGUGAAAAUACAUCAUUGUAUUUACUGAAAUGUUUAUAUUGUGCUACGUCUCAAAACUAACCUAAAAAAAAUCAGAUAAAAAGCAAAACACUUUUUUGGAAGAAACAUACUUCUAUGUUUAGCUUGAGCCUAACUGGAGGUGACAGAAUGGACCCAUUGGUAACAUUAAGUAUAAAUUCUGUUUUCAUACACAAUUUAUUGUUGUAAUUAUAAAUAGGGUCUUAUUCUAGCCUGGGCUAGCCUAGAAUUCACCACAUAGACAAGGCUGUCCUAGAACUCAAGGGAAUCUUGCCUCAACCUCUUGAUUUCUGGAAUUAUAAUAAUUCUUCUCCAAACCUACAACUUUUUACAAAAAUGUUUAGUUUUUAUGAGUGUUUUGCCUGCAGGAAUGUAAGUGCACCAUAAGCAUGCAGUACGCACAAAGGCCAGAAGAAGGAGUGCCUGUAUUAGAAUUGCAGAAGGUUGAAAACAACCAUGUGGUUUCUGGGACCUGAACCCUGGUCCUCUGUAAGAACUUCAAAUGCUUUUAAUCCUUGAACUAUCUCUACAGCUAACAAAAACUUUGAUUUAGAAACCAUUCAUGGGAAUUCUUCCUUAAUCCUAAGAACAGAUAAAUAGUGCUGUUGAAUCAAUUAUCCAGAAUAGCCCCCGAAG